CGCGCAAAUUACCCACUCCCAGCACGGGGAGGUGGUGACGAAAAAUACCGAUGCGGGACUCCCAAACGAGGCUCCGUAAUCGGAAUGAGUCAACUAUAAAUCCUUUAACGAGGAUCAAUUGGAGGGCAAGUCUGGUGCCAGCAGCCGCGGUAACUCCAGCUCCAAUAGCGUAUAUUAAAGUUGCUGCAGUUAAAAAGCUCGUAGUUGGAUCUCGGUAUCAUUGUUACCUGCCGGCCUUGCAAGCGUUGGCCUAUCGAUAUAUGGGUGAGCCUGUGUGUCAUAGUGUCAGCUGUUUCGGGUUGGUGUGGCGGCGGUGACACCUUUCAGCCAUGUCUGUGGUGAAAUAUCCACAGGUGUAGGCGAGUGUCAGGCGGUGCCCUGCAACUGUGGGGUUCGUCGGCUUGUCUGCAUGCCUAUGGAUGCCCUUCAAAAGGUGUCUGUGGGCGGAUGGCACGUUUACUUUGAACAAAUUUGAGUGCUCAAACCAGGCCGAUGUUGCCUGAAAAGUUUUGCAUGGGAAAUAAAUGGAAUAGGACUUCGGUUCUAUUUCGUUGGUUUUCGGAUCCG
rnacentral:rRNA from 1 species